rnacentral:rRNA from 1 species
UGGGAACGUGCCCAAAGGUACGGAACAACUCCGGGAAACUGGAGCUAAUACCGUAUGUGCCCGAAAGGGGAAAGAUUCAUCGCCUUUGGAUCGGCCCGCGUCUGAUUAGCUAGUUGGCGGGGUAAUGGCCCACCAAGGCGACGAUCAGUAACUGGUCUGAGAGGGUGACCGGCCACACUGGGACUGAGACACGGCCCAGACUCCUACGGGAGGCAG